AGACCCGAAACCCGGUGAUCUAGCCAUGGGCAGGUUGAAGGUUGGGUAACACUAACUGGAGGACCGAACCGACUAAUGUUGAAAAAUUAGCGGAUGACCUGUGGCUGGGGGUGAAAGGCCAAUCAAACCGGGAGAUAGCUGGUUCUCCCCGAAAGCUAUUUAGGUAGCGCCUCGUGAAUUCAUCUCCGGGGGUAGAGCACUGUUUCGGCUAGGGGGCCAUCCCGGCUUACCAACCCGAUGCAAACUGCGAAUACCGGAGAAUGUUAUCACGGGAGACACACGGCGGGUGCUAACGUCCGUCGUGAAGAGGGAAACAACCCAGACCGCCAGCUAAGGUCCCAAAGUCAUGGUUAAGUGGGAAACGAUGUGGGAAGGCCCAGACAGCCAGGAUGUUGGCUUAGAAGCAGCCAUCAUUUAAAGAAAGCGUAAUAGCUCACUGGUCGAGUCGGCCUGCGCGGAAGAUGUAACGGGGCUAAACCAUGCACCGAAGCUGCGGCAGCGAACGUAUCACUUAAAGCGAUUCAGCGGGUUACGAUUGACGGAGCGAAGCGACGUCAAAGCGUAUACAAAGUCGAGUCGGUUUAAGGAUACGUUCGUUGGGUAGGGGAGCGUUCUGUAAGCCUGUGAAGGUGGCCUGUGAGGGUUGCUGGAGGUAUC
rnacentral:rRNA from 1 species